CCUACGGGAGGCAGCAGUAGGGAAUAUUGCUCAAUGGGGGAAACCCUGAAGCAGCAACGCCGCGUGGAGGAUGAAGGUUUUCGGAUUGUAAACUCCUUUUGUUAGAGAAGAUAAUGACGGUAUCUAACGAAUAAGCACCGGCUAACUCCGUGCCAGCAGCCGCGGUAAUACGGAGGGUGCAAGCGUUAAUCGGAAUCACUGGGCGUAAAGAGCGCGUAGGCGGGACAGCAAGUCUGAUGUGAAAGCCUAUGGCUUAACCAUAGAACUGCAUUUGAAACUGUUGUUCUUGAGUGUGGGAGAGGAGGGUGGAACUCUAGGUGUAGGGGUAGAAUCCGUAGAGAUAAGGAGGAAUACUCAUGGCGAAGGCGACCCGCUAGACCAUAACUGACGCUGAGGCGCGAAAGCGUGGGGAGCGAACAGGAUUAGAUACCCCGGUAGUC
rnacentral:rRNA from 1 species